UUUAACUCUUCGUCUUAUUUAAAAUUUUUUAUGAUUAAUAUUUUUAUUAUUACUACAUGAUAAAACAUAAAUGUUAUUUUAUGUGUGACUAAUUUUUUAAAUUUUUUAAUAAAUUUUUUAAAUAAGACGGAUGGUCAAA
rnacentral:pre_miRNA from 1 species